rnacentral:rRNA from 1 species
CCCUGCAUUCAGUUGCCAUCGGGUGAAGCCGGGCACUCUGGAAGGACUGCCAUCGACAAGAUGGAGGAAGGUGGGGACGACGUCAAGUCAUCAUGGCCCUUAUGUCCAGGGCGACACACGUGCUACAAUGGCCGGCACAACGGGAAGCGAGUUCGCGAGGACGAGCGGAUCCCUUAAAGCCGGUCGCAGUUCGGAUUGAAGUCUGCAACUCGACUUCAUGAAGCUGGAAUCGCUAGUAAUCGCAGAUCAGCCAAGCUGCGGUGAAUACGUUCCCGGGCCUU